GAUGAACGUUGGUGGCGUGGAUUAGGCAUGCAAGUCGUGCGAGAAGGUGGCUUCGGCCACCGGACAGCGGCGAACGGGGUAGUAAGGCGUCGGAACGUGCCCACGGGUCCGGGAUAGCGGCGGGAAACUGCCGGUAAUACCGGAUGACCUCUCUGGAGCAAAGGUGUGAUUCCGCCUGUGGAGCGGCCGACGUGAUACCAGCUAGUUGGUGAGGUAACGGCUCACCAAGGCUCAGACGUCUAGGGGGUGUGAGAGCAUGGCCCCCACCACUGGGACUGAGACACUGCCCAGACACCUACGGGUGGCUGCAGUCGAGAAUCUUCGGCAAUGGGCGCAAGCCUGACCGAGCGACGCCACGUGCGGGAUGACGGCCCUCGGGUUGUAAACCGCUGUCGAGGGGGAUGAAGUCACGAAGGGCAAUCCCUUCGUGUUGACAGAGCCCUGGAGGAAGCGCGGGCUAAGUACGUGCCAGCCGCCGCAGUAAGAC
rnacentral:rRNA from 1 species